rnacentral:rRNA from 1 species
CAACGCGAAGAACCUUACCUGGGCUAGAAUGCCUCUGACCGCCGUAGAGAUAGGCCUUCCUGGGUAAAACCAGGCAGAGUGCAAGGUGCUGCAUGGCUGUCGUCAGCUCGUGUCGUGAGAUGUUGGGUUAAGUCCCGCAACGAGCGCAACCCUUAUCAAUAGUUGCCAGCGGUUCGGCCGGGCACUCUAUUGAGACUGCCGUUGACAAAACGGAGGAAGGUGGGGAUGACGUCAAGUCCUCAUGGCCUUUAUGUCCAGGGCUACACACGUGCUACAAUGGCAGGUACAAACCGCUGCAAACCAGCAAUGGGGAGCCAAUCGGAAAAAGCCUUGUCUCAGUUCGGAUUGGAGUCUGCAACUCGACUCCAUGAAGCUGGAAUCGCUAGUA